rfam:Aspergillus ruber CBS 135680 unplaced genomic scaffold scaffold00052, whole genome shotgun sequence.
GCCGGGCUAGCUCAAUUGGUCAGAGCGUGUGACUUUUACGACCCCAUUUCGGGCGUGAAUGCACCCCCAAUCACAAGGUUGCGGGUUCGAGUCCCGCGUUCGGCU